AAAAUUAGAGUGUUCAAAGCAGGCAGAUCCAAUUUUCUGCCACCGAAUACAUUAGCAUGGGAUAAUGGAAUAGGACCCUGUCCUCCUAUUUUCAGUUGGUUUUGGCAGCGCGAGGACUAGGGUAAUGAUUAAUAGGGAUAGUUGGGGGCAUUAAUAUUUAAUUGUCAGAGGUGAAAUUCUUGGAUUUAUGAAAGAUUAACUUCUGCGAAAGCAUCUGCCAAGGAUGUUUUCAUUAAUCAAGAACGAAAGUUAGGGGAUCGAAGACGAUCAGAUACCGUCGUAGUCUUAACCAUAAACGAUGCCGACCAGCGAUUAGGAGACGUUGAAUACAAAACACCACCAUCGGCGCGGUCGUCCUUGGCGUCUCGGUUUCGGCCGGGGCGCGGGGACGGCUUAGCCC
rnacentral:rRNA from 1 species